rnacentral:rRNA from 1 species
ACUCCUACGGGAGGCAGCAGUGGGGAAUAUUGCACAAUGGGCGCAAGCCUGAUGCAGCAACGCCGCGUGAGGGAUGACGGCCUUCGGGUUGUAAACCUCUUUUAGCAGGGAAGAAGCGAAAGUGACGGUACCUGCAGAAAAAGCGCCGGCUAACUACGUGCCAGCAGCCGCGGUAAU